rnacentral:rRNA from 1 species
AUAACGUUCGGAAACGGACGCUAAUACCGCAUACGUCCUACGGGAGAAAGCAGGGGACCUUCGGGCCUUGCGCUAUCAGAUGAGCCUAGGUCGGAUUAGCUAGUUGGUGAGGUAAUGGCUCACCAAGGCGACGAUCCGUAACUGGUCUGAGAGGAUGAUCAGUCACACUGGAACUGAGACACGGUCCAGACUCCUACGGGAGGCAGCAGUGGGGAAUAUUGGACAAUGGGNAAAAGCCUGAUCCAGCCAUGCCGCGUGUGUGAAGARGGUCUUCGGAUUGUAAAGCACUUUAAGUUGGGAGGAAGGGCAUUAACCUAAUACGUUAGUGUUUUGACGUUACCGACAGAAUAAGCACCGGCUAA